UGGGGUUUCUUGUUCCAAUGAAAGAGGAAACUCAGUGAUUUGAAGAGAACCUGCUGUGUGUAAGCACAAGUGUAUCUGGGCACAAAACUUAACACCUUCAUAACCAGAGAGAAGGCAUCCCAGCAACUGGACAGGCAUCAUGGAGAGGAAACUGGGAGCUGUGCUGGGGAUUCUGUGGUUGUGGAUUUGCUGGGUGAGAGGAGUUGAGGUGGAGCAGAGUCCUUCAGUCCUGAGUUUCCAGGAGGGAACCAGUUCUGCUCUGAGAUGCAAUUUUUCUACCACCAUGAGAAGUGUGCAGUGGUUCCGGAAGAAUCCCAGGGGCAGCUUCAUCAAUCUUUUUUACCUGAGUCAAGGAACAAAGGAGAAUGGGAGGUUAAAGUCAACAUUCAACUCCAAGGAGAGCUACAGCACCCUGCACAUCAGGGAUGCCCAGCUGGAGGACUCAGGCACCUACCUCUGUGCUGCAGAAGCACACCUGUUCAACUUCUUCAAAGGCAGCUCUGCUUCUGAUACUGUCACCUUCAUCAGUGACCGAGUAAUUCUGAAGAGAGGUACCAUGUUUUCAUCUUCAUCUUUUACUUUAUCUGCUUCCACCUUCACUGAGGCAAUCGAAGAAUUAUCUGCCAACUCCUCUCCAGUGGCAGGCCAUACGGAUUGGAUUUGA